CUCAGCAAUUUUGUCACAGGUGAUGCUCUUAUGCUGUUACAGGAACCAUUUGCUGAAAACUGUUCAAAUAUGCUGAUUUACUGUUCUAAUUACAAUGACAAAUUAUGCUAGUAGAUUUCUUUCAUCUGAAUGGACUGCAGAAAAGCUGGGUAGGCAGGCAGACUGAUGAACUUGUCUACUAAGAAAGGAGAGCAGAAUGGACAUGUGAGCAGAAUGGCCAGGAAAGAAAAGUGACAUCAACUGGGGUUGAGGGAGAGAAACUGAGCAGCCAAACCGGGAAGGAAGAUAUGAAUUGUGAAGGAUCUUCCAAGCCCAUGUGGAAUUUUGGCUCAGGAAAUAAACUGAAAGUUUUUAAAGUCCCCUCCUAUCUAAGAGAUUCCAUCAUCUGAUUUUCGCUAUUUACAGUGGAUCUACAAAGCAGCAAUCAGAGACCAGGGAAGAGAAGGCAGCACUGCCCCGAGUCCCGUCUUCAGCCGAGGACGGU